GGGUUGUGAGGUUAAGCGACUAAGCGUACACGGUGGAUGCCCUGGCAGUCAGAGGCGAUGAAGGGCGUGCUAAUCUGCGAUAAGCGCCGGUAAGGUGAUAUGAACCGUUAUAACCGGCGAUACCCGAAUGGGGAAACCCAGUGUGACUCGUCACACUAUCAUUAACUGAAUCCAUAGGUUAAUGAGGCGAACCGGGGGAACUGAAACAUCUAAGUACCCCGAGGAAAAGAAAUCAACCGAGAUUCCCCCAGUAGCGGCGAGCGAACGGGGAGGAGCCCAGAGCCUGAAUCAGCAUGUGUGUUAGUGGAAGCGUCUGGAAAGGCGCGCGAUACAGGGUGACAGCCCCGUACACAAAAGCGCAUGUGCUGUGAGCUCGAUGAGUAGGGCGGGACACGUGGUAUCCUGUCUGAAUAUGGGGGGACCAUCCUCCAAGGCUAAAUACUCCUGACUGACCGAUAGUGAACCAGUACCGUGAGGGAAAGGCGAAAAGAACCCCGGCGAGGGGAGUGAAAAAGAACCUGAAACCGUGUACGUACAAGCAGUGGGAGCACAGGUUUACCUGUGUGACUGCGUACCUUUUGUAUAAUGGGUCAGCGACUUAUAUUCUGUAGCAAGGUUAACCGUAUAGGGGAGCCGUAGGGAAACCGAGUCUUAACCGGGCGUUAAGUUGCAGGGUAUAGACCCGAAACCCGGUGAUCUAGCCAUGGGCAGGUUGAAGGUUGGGUAACACUAACUGGAGGACCGAACCGACUAAUGUUGAAAAAUUAGCGGAUGACCUGUGGCUGGGGGUGAAAGGCCAAUCAAACCGGGAGAUAGCUGGUUCUCCCCGAAAGCUAUUUAGGUAGCGCCUCGUGAAUUCAUCUCCGGGGGUAGAGCACUGUUUCGGCUAGGGGGCCAUCCCGGCUUACCAACCCGAUGCAAACUGCGAAUACCGGAGAAUGUUAUCACGGGAGACACACGGCGGGUGCUAACGUCCGUCGUGAAGAGGGAAACAACCCAGACCGCCAGCUAAGGUCCCAAAGUCAUGGUUAAGUGGGAAACGAUGUGGGAAGGCCCAGACAGCCAGGAUGUUGGCUUAGAAGCAGCCAUCAUUUAAAGAAAGCGUAAUAGCUCACUGGUCGAGUCGGCCUGCGCGGAAGAUGUAACGGGGCUAAACCAUGCACCGAAGCUGCGGCAGCGACACUAUGUGUUGUUGGGUAGGGGAGCGUUCUGUAAGCCUGUGAAGGUGGCCUGUGAGGGUUGCUGGAGGUAUCAGAAGUGCGAAUGCUGACAUAAGUAACGAUAAAGCGGGUGAAAAGCCCGCUCGCCGGAAGACCAAGGGUUCCUGUCCAACGUUAAUCGGGGCAGGGUGAGUCGACCCCUAAGGCGAGGCCGAAAGGCGUAGUCGAUGGGAAACGGGUUAAUAUUCCCGUACUUGGUGUUACUGCGAAGGGGGGACGGAGAAGGCUAUGUUGGCCGGGCGACGGUUGUCCCGGUUUAAGCGUGUAGGUGUGUGUUCCAGGUAAAUCCGGUUCACUUUAACACUGAGGCGUGACGACGAGGCACUACGGUGCUGAAGCAACAAAUGCCCUGCUUCCAGGAAAAGCCUCUAAGCAUCAGGUAACAUCAAAUCGUACCCCAAACCGACACAGGUGGUCAGGUAGAGAAUACCAAGGCGCUUGAGAGAACUCGGGUGAAGGAACUAGGCAAAAUGGUGCCGUAACUUCGGGAGAAGGCACGCUGACACGUAGGUGAAGUGAUUUACUCAUGGAGCUGAAGUCAGUCGAAGAUACCAGCUGGCUGCAACUGUUUAUUAAAAACACAGCACUGUGCAAACACGAAAGUGGACGUAUACGGUGUGACGCCUGCCCGGUGCCGGAAGGUUAAUUGAUGGGGUCAGCGCAAGCGAAGCUCCUGAUCGAAGCCCCGGUAAACGGCGGCCGUAACUAUAACGGUCCUAAGGUAGCGAAAUUCCUUGUCGGGUAAGUUCCGACCUGCACGAAUGGCGUAAUGAUGGCCAGGCUGUCUCCACCCGAGACUCAGUGAAAUUGAACUCGCUGUGAAGAUGCAGUGUACCCGCGGCAAGACGGAAAGACCCCGUGAACCUUUACUAUAGCUUGACACUGAACAUUGAGCCUUGAUGUGUAGGAUAGGUGGGAGGCUUUGAAGUGUGGACGCCAGUCUGCAUGGAGCCGGCCUUGAAAUACCACCCUUUAAUGUUUGAUGUUCUAACGUGGACCCGUGAUCCGGGUUGCGGACAGUGUCUGGUGGGUAGUUUGACUGGGGCGGUCUCCUCCUAAAGAGUAACGGAGGAGCACGAAGGUUGGCUAAUCCUGGUCGGACAUCAGGAGGUUAGUGCAAUGGCAUAAGCCAGCUUGACUGCGAGCGUGACGGCGCGAGCAGGUGCGAAAGCAGGUCAUAGUGAUCCGGUGGUUCUGAAUGGAAGGGCCAUCGCUCAACGGAUAAAAGGUACUCCGGGGAUAACAGGCUGAUACCGCCCAAGAGUUCAUAUCGACGGCGGUGUUUGGCACCUCGAUGUCGGCUCAUCACAUCCUGGGGCUGAAGUAGGUCCCAAGGGUAUGGCUGUUCGCCAUUUAAAGUGGUACGCGAGCUGGGUUUAGAACGUCGUGAGACAGUUCGGUCCCUAUCUGCCGUGGGCGCUGGAGAACUGAGGGGGGGCUGCUCCUAGUACGAGAGGACCGGAGUGGACGCAUCACUGGUGUUCGGGUUGUCAUGCCAAUGGCACUGCCCGGUAGCUAAAUGCGGAAGAGAUAAGUGCUGAAAGCAUCUAAGCACGAAACUUGCCCCGAGAUGAGUUCUCCCUGAGACUACGAGUCUCCUGAAGGAACGUUGAAGACGACGACGUUGAUAGGCCGGGUGUGUAAGCGCAGCGAUGCGUUGAGCUAACCGGUACUAAUGAACCGUGAGGCUUAACCUUACAACGCCGAAG
rnacentral:rRNA from 1 species